rnacentral:rRNA from 1 species
UACGUAGGGGGCAAGCGUUGUCCGGAAUCAUUGGGCGUAAAGAGCGCGUAGGCGGUCCGGUAAGUCCGCUCUGAAAGUCCGGGGCUCAACCCCGGGAGGCGGGCGGAUACUGUCGGGCUAGAGUCCGGAAGAGGCGAGUGGAAUUCCUGGUGUAGCGGUGAAAUGCGCAGAUAUCAGGAGGAACACCAAUGGCGAAGGCAGCUCGCUGGGACGGUACUGACGCCGAGGCGCGAAAGCGUGGGGAGCAAACAGG